rnacentral:rRNA from 1 species
AAAGAUCGAAUGGGGACAUUCAUCGACAACGAGGCUGGCUUCCGUUGGUGUGCGAUACCCCGAAUGGGCCUCUGUGGUUCCAAUGCGAGGGUACACCACCUUCGGCAAAUGUUCCGGCUACGUAGUCGUGCACUUAUCCCUUGGUAGAACGUCGCGACCCGUUGCGUGUCGGUCUACGGCCCGAGUUGUUGCCUGUCGUGUCUGCCGCGUGCGCACACGGCAGACGCUCGAUCGCCUGGCCGGCUGCGUGACGGUACUCUGACGGUAUCGGGCCGCAACCAAUCCAUUUUCGAAUGUGUGUGCGUCAGGCCCGCCGCAAGCUCGGUUAGUUUACCCGUGAGGUAGCGGACCUGGUGCCGGCUCCGGGCCUGGCCAGCUGUUUGCAGGCGGUGUCCUCGGACUGGCCAAGCUUCGAAUUACCGGUCAGCGACGCUACUGCUUUGGGUACUCUCAGGACCCGUCUUGAAACACGGACCAAGGAGUCUAACAUGUGCGCCAGUCAUUGGGACUUGUAAACCUAAAGGCGCAAUGAAAGUGAAAGUUGACCUUUGCGUCGACCGAGGGAGGAUGGGCCGCGUUACGAUGCGGCCUCGCACUCCCGGGGCGUCUCGUUCUCAUUGCGAGACGAG